rnacentral:rRNA from 1 species
CCCUUAGAUGUUCUGGGCCGCACGCGCGCUACAAUGAUGAAUUCAACGAGUUUAUAACCUUGGUUGAAAAGCCUGGGUAAUCUUUUGAACUUUCGUCGUGAUGGGGCUAGACCCUUGCAAUUAUUGGUCUCCAACGAGGAAUUCCUAGUAAACGCAAGUCAUCAGCUUGCAUUGAUUACGUCCCUGCCCUUUGUACACACCGCCCGUCGCGCCUACCGAUUGAAUGGUCCGGUGAAAUCUUCGGAUUGAGACUUUGAUUUCUUCACGGAAAACGCUGUUUUAAAAAGUUGAUUAAACCUUACCAUUUAGAGGAAGGUGAAGUCGUAACA